rnacentral:tRNA from 1 species
UAGCCUAGUGGUUAUGGCUAAGGAUUGCCAAUCCAGAGACGGCGGGUUCGAUUCCCGU